CCAGCCUAGUAUCCGGGGCUGUCUCCAAUCUCUCUCUGCGACACUGGUAACGGUGAAGUGGAAAGCGAGAGGUAACGUCUAAGGGAGCUUCGAGCCGAACGAGGCAACCGGG
rfam:Ktedonobacter racemifer DSM 44963 strain SOSP1-21 Krac_Contig205, whole genome shotgun sequence.